GGAGCAGCCCAGAGCCUGAAUCAGUAUGUGUGUUAGUGGAAGCGUCUGGAAAGGCGCGCGAUACAGGGUGACAGCCCCGUACACAAAAAUGCACAUGCUGUGAGCUCGAUGAGUAGGGCGGGACACGUGGUAUCCUGUCUGAAUAUGGGGGGACCAUCCUCCAAGGCUAAAUACUCCUGACUGACCGAUAGUGAACCAGUACCGUGAGGGAAAGGCGAAAAGAACCCCGGCGAGGGGAGUGAAAAAGAACCUGAAACCGUGUACGUACAAGCAGUGGGAGCACGCUUAGGCGUGUGACUGCGUACCUUUUGUAUAAUGGGUCAGCGACUUAUAUUCUGUAGCAAGGUUAACCGAAUAGGGGAGCCGAAGGGAAACCGAGUCUUAACUGGGCGUUAAGUUGCAGGGUAUAGACCCGAAACCCGGUGAUCUAGCCAUGGGCAGGUUGAAGGUUGGGUAACACUAACUGGAGGACCGAACCGACUAAUGUUGAAAAAUUAGCGGAUGACUUGUGGCUGGGGGUGAAAGGCCAAUCAAACCGGGAGAUAGCUGGUUCUCCCCGAAAGCUAUUUAGGUAGCGCCUCGUGAAUUCAUCUCCGGGGGUAGAGCACUGUUUCGGCAAGGGGGUCAUCCCGACUUACCAACCCGAUGCAAACUGCGAAUACCGGAGAAUGUUAUCACGGGAGACACACGGCGGGUGCUAACGUCCGUCGUGAAGAGGGAAACAACCCAGACCGCCAGCUAAGGUCCCAAAGUCAUGGUUAAGUGGGAAACGAUGUGGGAAGGCCCAGACAGCCAGGAUGUUGGCUUAGAAGCAGCCAUCAUUUAAAGAAAGCGUAAUAGCUCACUGGUCGAGUCGGCCUGCGCGGAAGAUGUAACGGGGCUAAACCAUGCACCGAAGCUGCGGCAGCGACGCUGAUGCGUUGUUGGGUAGGGGAGCGUUCUGUAAGCCUGCGAAGGUGUGCUGUGAGGCAUGCUGGAGGUAUCAGAAGUGCGAAUGCUGACAUAAGUAACGAUAAAGCGGGUGAAAAGCCCGCUCGCCGGAAGACCAAGGGUUCCUGUCCAACGUUAAUCGGGGCAGGGUGAGUCGACCCCUAAGGCGAGGCCGAAAGGCGUAGUCGAUGGGAAACAGGUUAAUAUUCCUGUACUUGGUGUUACUGCGAAGGGGGGACGGAGAAGGCUAUGUUGGCCGGGCGACGGUUGUCCCGGUUUAAGCGUGUAGGCUGGUUUUCCAGGCAAAUCCGGAAAAUCAAGGCUGAGGCGUGAUGACGAGGCACU
rnacentral:rRNA from 1 species